AUGACUCUACUUAUAAUUUUUGUUUCGGUUUUGUGUGUUUGGAUUUGCGAGUUGUGUAAUUGGAGACAUGAGAUUUUCAGAAUAUUUUUAUUAAUAUUUUUGAGAUUUUCAGUUUAUUAUUGAGUUAAUUUCGAGAAUUCUUUUAUGAUGCAUGUUACAAUCUUGUGCCCUUUUAUGUGUUUAGGUAAUUUUCAGAGUUAGGUUCAUAAGUUUGCAUGCAAGAAUAAUGGUGAGAGUUCUUGUGUGUUUGCUUAAUUUGCCAAGAGUAAUUAUUAUUUGUUAAGGCGCUGAGUUAAACAAGUAACAAUUAGUUCUAAAAAGUGGUAAAAAUCAUGCUUUAAUGAUUAAACGAUUCUGGAAAUUACGUGUUAAAUUCUAUGUGUAAUGGUUAAUUUACACGUGUGAGUUUAUUCGAGGGUUAGAUAAUACUACUAGUUAAGAGAAUUACGCUGAGUGUUUUCGAAAAUUAGUAGUAUUAGGCUUGGUAAGGACUUUUCCGAUCCAAGCCUACAUUAGAACGAAUCAGAUAAAUGGAUUGAUCCGCUGAGGCUUUUCAUUUGGGCUCUUAUCUAUGCAUUCAAGAUGGGCACAGUUUUGUAGCAUGUUGAAAUGAAUUUCUGAGUGGUAUUGGUCUAGGUUAGGGAAGUCGAUCAUUGUAUAUAGGUUUAUUUGUUUUGUUUUUAUUUUAAGUAGAUUAGGAACCAAAUCUCAAAACCUCCAUUUUAUUCUUUUAUUUGUUAAUUGACCUUUUUGUGUAGGUGUACCCUACAAUCCCCGGACUGAACGAUCCCUGCUUAUCCUAUACUGACAACUACAUUUUGCAGGGUUAAAUUGUGAGGCUAUUUUAGCUGCAUCAAUUUUUAUAAAAUAAACGGAAUCACGGAUAUCGAAAGAAAUUAGAGCGAAAUCGGAGCACAUAAUGAAGAAAUGAAGAAAUGAAGAAAAGAAGAAUUUCUCUUAAUUAAUUAUUCUUUUCAUCAAUUAAUCAUUAAUUAAUAGAGGUUUAAUCAUCAGAAGCAACAUCACGUGCAGAGGCAUGUUGCAAUCAAGCCAUUAUUUGUUUAAUUGAACUCAACCACUCAGAAGAUGACACAUGGCAGCUGUACAAUUAAUCACUAUGGUUUAAUCAUGCAAAGAGGGACCAGCGUUUCUUUCUCUCUUUUGCUGCCAAAACGAACAGCAGCACGUGCUCUUCCUCUUUCAUUUUCUGACGUCACUUUCCUCCCCUCAACCAUUGCAGCCUUGCCACGUGUCCCUUAUCCUUCCUCUUUCUCACAAAGCCUUUCCAGCCGCACACCCUACUAACCCUCUCUCUUCUCCAACAGCCGCACGCCCCAAUUAAAUUUAUUCCUUUACCCUUCCUCUAACAGAGAGAACACACCCACCGCCACUAUUUCAUUUUUCUUCUCUCACCCGUCACCUCACACUCUCUCAUCUUCCCAUCUUCAUUUUUAAUUUCAUUUUUUGGAUUGGACACUAAAGGCUUCAAGGAAAUCAUCAUCAAGAGCACACAUCCAUUUUUGGGUAGUUGAGUGAAGAAAUUACUUGGUUCAAACUAGCUCAUAGCUAGAAGUGGCCAAGCUAACUCUCAUCUCUUUUCCUUAUUAUCUCUUUCAUAAUUUUUCUAUGCUUUUGGUGAUGUAUUUGAUAAUGAGUUGUGAGUAGUUCAAUUUUGGGAGUUAGGGUUGUGAAGCCCUAACUCAUCUUGUAUAAAUAUUGAUGCUUUACUUCUAAUAAAUGCAAUUUUCAUUGUGUA